rnacentral:lncRNA from 1 species
CCUUGGCGGGGUCCAAUUCAAUGCCUCUGCGGCUAAUUAUGAAACCCAAAAGUUUCCCGGAUGGAACGCCAAAUGCACACUUGGCUGGAUUGAGCUUAAGAUUAUACUUUCGCAAUCUUUCGAAGAAUUUCCUCAAGUCAUAUACAUGAUCGACUCGUGUCUUGGACUUGAUAAUGACAUCAUCAACAUAUACUUCUACUUCCUUGUGCAUCAUGUCAUGAAAAAUAGUAGUCAUAGCUCUCACGUACGUAGCUC